GGGGUUGUGGCUCAGUGGUAGAGUGCUUAUCUCUCACCCCUCUCAAGUAUGAGGCCCUGGGUUCGAUCCUCAGCACCACA
rnacentral:tRNA from 1 species